GCGGAUGUGGCGAAAUUGGUAGACGCACCAGAUUUAGGUUCUGGCGGGAGACCGUGGGGGUUCGAGUCCCUCCAUCCGCACCA
rnacentral:tRNA from 390 species